rnacentral:rRNA from 1 species
GAUGAACGCUGGCGGCGUGCCUAAUACAUGCAAGUCGAGCGAACGGACGAGAAGCUUGCUUCUCUGAUGUUAGCGGCGGACGGGGGAGUAACACGUGGAUAACCUACCUAUAAGACUGGGAUAACUUCGGGAAACCGGAGCUAAUACCGGAUAAUAUUUUGAACCGCCUGGUUCAAAAGUGAAAGACGGUCUUGCUGUCACGUAUAGAUGGAUCCGCGCUGCAUUAGCUAGUUGGUAAGGUAACGGCUUACCAAGGCAACGAUGCAUAGCCGACCUGAGAGGGUGAUCGGCCACCCGGGAACUGAGACACGGUCCAGACUCCUACGGGAGGCAGCAGUAGGGAAUCUUCCGCAAUGGGCGAAAGCCUGACGGAGCGACGCAGCGUGAGUGAGGAAGGUCUUCGGAUCGUAAAACUGUGUUAUUAGGGAAGAACAUAUGUGUAAGUAACUGUGCACAUCUUGACGGUACCUAAUCAGAAAGCCACGGCUAACUACGUG